ACCUACGGGAGGCAGCAGUGAGGAAUAUUGGUCAAUGGGCGGAAGCCUGAACCAGCCAAGUCGCGUGAGGGAAGAAGGCCCUGCGGGUCGCAGACCUCUUUGGACGGGGAGCAAGGCCGCCGACGUGUCGGCGGAAGGAGAGUACCCGUAGAACAAGCAUCGGCUAACUCCGUGCCAGCAGCCGCGGUAAUACGGAGGAUCCGAGCGUUAUCCGGAUUUAUUGUGUUUAAAGGGUGCGUAGGCGGUCAGGUAAGUUAGAGGUGAAAGCUCGAUGCUCAACAUCGAAACUGCCUCUGAUACUGUCU
rnacentral:rRNA from 1 species